AAGGAAUCGAUGACUCAUCAUAAAUUCAAGCACAUCCUAAGAUGGUUCCAUCUCAUUCAGGAGAUAGUCGAAAGAUGCGAUAUGAUCGUGGAGUGAGUUGAUACCAAGAAUAAUAUAGUGAAUCCGUUCACUAAGGCCUUGUCAGUGCGACAGUUUGACCAUCACUUUGAUUGCAUGGGCAUCAAGUAUAGGGGCGAUUGGCUUUAGUGUAAGUGGGAGAUUAAAAGAAUAAUGCUCUACAAGCCAAUCGCAUAUGGAAUGC
rnacentral:lncRNA from 1 species